UUCAGUACGACAUUGCUCACAUUGCUUCCAGUAUUUUUGCCCGCACUUGUGCGGGCUUUUUUUU
rnacentral:antisense_RNA from 7 species